UCAAUCAUCCCAGUGCUGUGAUAUUUUAAGGACGAGGACGAUGUCACUUCUUCCCUCGGCCUUGCGGGAACGCUUGCUCCAGGUGGUUGUGAGAAUGGGAGACGGAGCCGCCCAGUCCUGGGGUGCAAACAGCCCUACCUCCUGGUAGCUGAUGAGCACCUCGAGUCUCUUCUCCUCCCGGCAGGCCUCGAGCCUUCUGUACAGUUCCAUGGUGGUCAGUUCUAGACUGUAAGCCUCACGAAUACAGGAACCCUGUCUGCCUGAUCUGCUAUCGUAUCCCGUGGCCCAGUGGAGUGGUCCCCACACAGGAGAAGAAUGAAUGGGGGGCCCACAGAGAACGCACGGCCGGAGCCCUCCUCAACCAGUGCCCAGCAGAGAGGGGAGACGGGCUCACCUGAGCA